UCUUGUAAUGUGCUAAAAAUUAAAUGAGAUUACAUAUUGAUCAGACACAUUUAAAAUUAAUUCUAAUUUUACAAAAUGUCUUAUUGCAACUACUAAGUGCUAAGCUUUUAUUAACAAAGCAUGCAAACUUUUACUUAUAAAGCGGUUCAAAAACAUUUUAUGUAUGAAAUGCAAAAUAAAAAAAAUAUGGCUAAAAUUUCCAUGUUUGUUUAUGCUAUGAUGGUAUUUCUUUUUUCGUAUCUCGCCCUUUUUAAGCAAAGUAGGAAAUUCUAUUUUAAGUCUGAAUAUGAGCGGUAAAUUAUAGGGGUAAUUGUUUCAAUUCGAGAAGCAACAUGUCUUCAUAGAAAAUGAAAGACUAGAAUUAUUUUCUGAAUAAUUUCUUCAUUGUCUUUUACAUGUACAAUUUAAAGGAAAAAAAAAACUCACUUUUUUUUCCCAAAUAAUUAUAAGGGAAAAACACAUACAUUUAUCUUUUUCAA